UCAUUUUGUAAAUAUAUAAUACUAAAAAUCAAACAUCCUUGAAAGUCCAGCAAAGUAGAUUGUAAACCAGUAAGUCAAAUCUGCUUUACUAUCUAAAUUCACUCAGUAAUACAGCCAAAAAUAGUGAACUUUGUUGGGUUCUAAAAGCUUCUGUGUCCUCAAUAAAAUACUAGUUUGCCAAUUAAUCACCAGUGGUCUUUAAUAGCAAUAAAAACCAAUUUACUCAUUUAAGAAUUCUAUCAGAGGUCCAAAUAUUAUCCCAUAGAUUAGAAAAAUAUUAAUAAUUGGUCAAGGAGAUUGGAAGUUGUUUUUCCCCUAGAUUAGUUUUCCAUACUUAUAGUUAUUAAUAUUCUUAAGCCAUCUUGCACUUCCCUGGUGGUCCAGUGGCUAAGACUCCAUGCUCCCAGUGCAGGGGGCCCAGGUUCGAUCCCUGGUCAGGGAACUAGAUCCCACAUGCCGCAACUAAGAGUUCACAUGCCGCAACUAAAGAUCCCACGUGCCAUGACUAAGACCUGGUGCUGCCAAAUAAAUAAGUAUUAAAAAUAUAUAUAUAUAUUCCUAAGCCAUCUUGAGAAAUCAUUUGUUGGAAAAACUUUCAUUAACCACCUCCAAGAAAGGGUUUCACCCCCAAAAAGCCAGUUGUGAACAAUCUCGUGUCAUUAUUCUUUGAAUUUCAGAUAACAGGCUAUCCCAGACUCUUCUUUUAUAAAAAUAAAAAUGACAGCUGUCACUUCUUGAACAUUUAUUAAAUAGUAGGCACUAUGCUAAACCCUUCACAUACCCUAUGUUCACAAUCCUGUGAGGUAGGUUUACUAUCGUUAACUCACAGAUAAGGAAAAUGAGGCUACAAGAACUGAACUAAACUACAGUUGGCUGAGCCAACAGUUGAAUCAGUUUAAAUUCCAGAGUCCAUGUUUGUAAAUAAUAUGCCAUAGUGCUUUCUAUUCACAGAGCAUCUGCCCCAUUAACCACUCUCGGUUAUCAUCUUCCACCAGAGAGAACACACCGAGGGACUCAGCAAAAUGUCCUGUAAGAUGAGGGAAAUGACUGAUUUUGUCCUGCUUGCAGGAUCUUAGUUCCCCAACCAGGGAUCAAACCUGGGACCCUACAGUGAAAGCGCCAAGUCCUAACUACUGGACCACCUGGGAAUUCCCAAGAAAAUUCAAUUUUCAGUCUCCAACUCCAUGUACUGAAAACAUGCCAGUUCUGAGGUACUCUGAACUCCUCAAAGAAAGUGUCUAACAUUAUGGUUCUCUGUGAAGAAUACAAUUCCCAGUCAUAUCUUUCCUCAGAGUAAUAUAAAUAAAAUCAGUUCUUACAAUUUC